rnacentral:lncRNA from 1 species
AGGGGGUAACAUAUUUUUACAUUGGAAAUCAAAUGCAGACGUAGUAAUGUAACUGCAUAGAAAUAUCUGAUACUACGCAUUUUAUAAAUUAUCAAUACUAAAUUAAAUUGAAAACAUCAUUUAAAAUGAACAUAUUUGGCUAAUACAGUUAUAUGAUAAAAGAGAGAAUAUAGUAUAUACCUACUUUACAUCGAUUAUUAAUACAUUAAAACGUGUAUUGUUUGUUCCAAAGGUAAUUAGGAAAAACAAAUACAAUAUUCCUAUAUAGAAAUGGAAAACACUUUUUAUAAAAAAAAAACUAGAUAAACAUAACUUAUAAAAAGGAGUAAGGUUUUAGCAUCAAUUUUAGUCUAAUAGUUAUAUUUUACGAUCAAUACAUGUAUGGUAGUGGUUUGUAUAAAUGUAUUCACUCGUCACUAUUUAGAUUCAAAUCUGUAUAAUGUUGUAUUGUUACCUAAGUAUAUAAAGGGUAACAUUUACCAAAAAAAAAAAACUAUAUAAAGGGUUCUCAUAUGUGGGGAAAAAUCUAGAGUAUUUUACACUAUAAGACAGUUUCCAAGUUUUUAUUACAUUCUAGGCCAGUUAUCACUAUUAAAGUAGUUUUUUAUGACUAGAAACCAAACCAUCGUUAACUAGAUUCCCUUUAUCUAACUAAAGUGGUCCCACAAUUUUCUAAAAUUUAUUACU